CAUCCAGUUCUGUUCUUAGUCUUAUAUUCUCUUAAUCUCUUAGUCUCCCUAAUCUCAAAACCACUCAUACACUCACGCAUACACUCUCUUCUCAAUCUCUUACCAAAUCACCAAGAACAAGUCUCAUCUAACUCCAUUGGAGUGUAUCCACAGUCACACAUCCAACCAGAGUAGUUCUCUCUAAAAACUCAUAUGGUAUCAGAGCCAGGUUCAUCAGAACCUGAGCUGUAGCUUCCGCAAAUCACUUGCUCUCACCUCAGCUCAAAUCCAACCCUUGAAGCCUUUUACAUCCGAGUUCAGUUUCUCCAUGAAGUAGAAGACUGAAGCUGGCGUGGCUCUUAUCCUUUCUCCUGUCCAUACUGAUGGAGAGACUCAUUGGAAGCAGAGGUGUAUGGAGAGGCCUCGCGAACCUCAUCCAAGGUGCCUUGUCCAAGAGCUUUCCCAUCCGGUUCAUCAAGCAAGCUGCCAAGAAGAUGGCGCCUAGAAGAGAAGGAGAAAGGAGGGGUCUUUGAGUUAGAGAAACAAGGAGGAAGUCAUGGACUGAAGAAGCAGGAGAUGGGUAACGAUCCAGACUCACAUAUCCUCAAGGUCAUGAGCUUACCAUCCGAGAGUGAUACAAGGACCAACCUGGUUCCUUGAUAGUAAGCGAUUCUUUAAACCUUAAGUGGUAAUGAGCUUGUGAUAAAAUCUGGUUGUGUGUUGUGAUGUGAUUGAAAACCUGAGGAUUGUUUAAAGAUUGCUAAAUGAAAUGAAAUGAAUUUAGAAUCUAUCCCAGGAUGCUUAAAGAGACUUGUUGAGUUGAUUGAGAUUGUUUAAAAGGCUUAGCUCCGGUUCAUAAUGUUGCUUGUGUGGUUGAUUGAAUCUGCUUGCAUACAUAUAUAGAAACCGACUGAAAGCUAGUGCAUUUGGUCUUGGAGUUACCUUACACUGAGGCACUAGAUUCAUGUCUAGUAGCUGAGUAAGGGGCUGUCAAGAUAUUCCUAAGUAUCUCGUAAUGAAUCUGUAGGAUCAUGCUAGUACUUAGAGAGAUUAGCUUGCAAUGAUUUGAAACUUGGGUGUCUUGUUUGAUCUUGCAUUGCUUUAGUGAGUCAUUGGGUUCAAGCUUGAUGUGGAAUCAAGGACUGACCCAAUGCACCUAUGUCUUAUCUUCUCUGGAGUUUGAGUGGUGUUUCAGGUAUACAAGAAGUGUUCUUAGUUCAUCACCAAUCCAAGAGAAAGAGGAAGGCAUUGCCCAUUGUCAUGAGCAAUGGAGAGCGGUUACUGAAGUGGUGAUGUGCCACUGGUUAGUGAAGACUCACGGCUGCUCACUUCCAAGCUUGGACCCUCAUUCUAUCCAAGCUUGAGGAGGGGAGUUAAGUGAGCAAAGAAGGAAGACCAUGGCAAGCAACUGAUGGAAAAGGAGUCAUCCGGCUGUGGGAAGAACAAGGGAGUGUUCAGAGCACUCUCGGCUGUGUGAAGAUGAUGGAGCUACUCUAUCAAGGCGGCUUCCAGUGUGAGCAGUCUGAAGAGGGAGCUGAAGGUUCCACAAACAUUCCAUGGAGAUGGCGAGUUCAGAAGGUGCUGCAAGGGUCUGAUGGUGUGAUCAUGAAGCUGCUCUCCCAAGCUUGACUUGUUCCAUAUGGUCAAGCUUGAGGGGGAGUGUUGAGAAGACUUCAAUGAUCACAAAGAUGCUGGUUUACGAAGGUGGACAGCAGUGAGCAAAGAUGGAUGAUCAAGAAGCUCUCCUUCCAAGCUUGACUUGUUCCACAUGGUCAAGCUUGAGGGGGAGUGUUGAGAAGGCUUCUUGAUGAGAGCACUUGGCGGUUAAUCAAGAAGAGGAGCAGACUGGUUUGUGAAGCAAGAUGGAGGAUGGUGAAGCAAUCACCAAGGCGGCCAAAGCAGAGCAGCCUUGAUACUACAGACUGAACCAUCCGAUCAUGAAGCUUUAGAACUAGGUGGAGACUCUAGAAGGAGAAGCAGCCAAGGCUCCACAAGUUCUUGAUACUCUUGGUGCGAGUAUGAUCUGAUGGUUCCAUAUGAAGCUAGAAGAAGGUCAGACCGUGAGAAGAGUACAAGAUGAAGGGUGAUGAGCAAGGGAAGAUGUGAUCAACCUUGCAUCACAAGAAGAGGCCAUGAUCCAGAGUCUUUGUGUCCCUUACAUUGAUGGUAAGGCACAAAGACUCACUGGCCAAUCCCUAGGCCGUGGAGGCUUUACUCUUUUUCCCUCAUCAAGGUUUUGUCCCAAAGGGUUUUCCUUGGUGAGGUUUUUAAUGAGGAAGCUCUUCAUGGUUCCAAGCUUAACUCAGGAUCUCCUAGAGUUAAGCUUGAGGGGGAGUGUUGAACUGAAGAGAAGAAUGGAGCUUGUUCAUAAAUAGGGAAAGCCCUUGAAGACCUUGAGAAGAGUUCAGCAAAGCUUCAGGAGUGUCUUGAAGCAUCUAUCAUGGGUGAAGUCAAGUCCAAGAAUGGCUGAGACUGAUCUUAAGAAGGCAUGGAAGGAGUUUGGAGGUGUAUGGUCGAGUGGGCAAACUUAGGGCGUGGCCGUACGGAGUUGGUACGGAAGUGUACGGACCGUACGGAUCCGUACGGACCAAGCCGACCCAAAAGUUUGUAUCUCGACCAUCUGAGCCUAUUUAGAGUUGGUGCAAAAAUAGGGCACAGGUCAGUUCUUAAGAGAAGAAGACAAAAGAGACUCUUAAGAGAAGAAGACAAAGAAGAAGGCUGUGUGUGCAAAGGAGAUUGGCGCCUGGUUUGUGAUAGGCUGUGGCAGUCCAAGACAGGCUGGCUAUAGCUGGAAAGGAAGAGCAAGGCUUGACUAUGUAUCUGGCCAAAGAAGAGGGCAGAUACAUGAGCCAAUGAGGAGCAUUUCCAGCCAAGGCUUUCACUUAACCAAUCAGGCGGUUCCAACACUUUGCAAAGACCACAAGACCUGAUCCUGAGCGUCCAAUUCAAAUUAAAGCAUCUCCACCCUUCAUGUCUUAUCUGUAGCUUAGGGUUUAUGAUUUGUGCAAUGAGUAAAGCUCAUAUAUAAGCUUGCUAAUGUCGGAUUGUAAACACUAAGGGAGUAAGGGGGAUUUCCCCUCUCCACUUCAUUGUUCUGGUUACUAAUAGCAUCCAGUUCUGUUCUUAGUCUUAUAUUCUCUUAAUCUCUUAGUCUCCCUAAUCUCAAAACCACUCAUACACUCACGCAUACACUCUCUUCUCAAUCUCUUACCAAAUCACCAAGAACAAGUCUCAUCUAACUCCAUUGGAGUGUAUCCACAGUCACACAUCCAACCAGAGUAGUUCUCUCUAAAAACUCAUAUGGUAUCAGAGCCAGGUUCAUCAGAACCUGAGCUGUAGCUUCCGCAAAUCACUUGCUCUCACCUCAGCUCAAAUCCAACCCUUGAAGCCUUUUACAUCCGAGUUCAGUUUCUCCAUGAAGUAGAAGACUGAAGCUGGCGUGGCUCUUAUCCUUUCUCCUGUCCAUACUGAUGGAGAGACUCAUUGGAAGCAGAGGUGUAUGGAGAGGCCUCGCGAACCUCAUC
rnacentral:lncRNA from 1 species